GUGAAUAAUAACUUCAGUGGGGUUGGGUUUAUAUGAGACUUUUUUUUGUUAUACUUGGUUUGUUUUUGUCGCUUUUUACAGAUCCAGACUAACACGGCUACCCCUCUGAUACUUGAAGAAAUGUAGUGACAAAGGGAGAUGGUUACUUCCUGUCUGACAUGGAGAGAUGAGUGUUAUGGAAGAUACUGGCCUGAGAGAGAAGCUGAUGCCAGAGGAUGCUCCAGGAAUGGAAGCAGGUGCAGCAGCGGAGCUUUAUAUAAUAGGAAGGCACAGAUUCUGAAUGACAGAUGCAAAUUUGUGGAGGGUGCUAGCCAACGUAUAAGUCUGCUAAUGCUUCUCCCCAGGGAAAGAAGUUCUAC
rnacentral:lncRNA from 1 species